rnacentral:rRNA from 1 species
AUUGAACGCUGGCGGCAUGCUUUACACAUGCAAGUCGAACGGCAGCGAGGAGAAGCUUGCUUCUCUGUCGGCGAGUGGCGAACGGGUGAGUAUAGCAUCGGAACGUGCCAAGUAGUGGGGGAUAACCAAACGAAAGUUUGGCUAAUACCGCGUAAGCUCUAAGGAGGAAAGUAGGGGACCUAAAUAAGGCCUUACGCUAUUUGAUCGGCCGAUGUCGGAUUAGCUAGUUGGUGGGGUAAUGGCUCACCAAGGCAAUGAUCCGUAGCGGGUCUGAGAGGACGAUCCGCCACACUGGGACUGAGACACGGCCCAGACUCCUACGGGAGGCAGCAGUGGGGAAUUUUGGACAAUGGGGGAAACCCUGAUCCAGCCAUGCCGCGUGUAUGAAGAAGGCCUUAGGGUUGUAAAGUACUUUUGUUAGGGAAGAAAAGCUAGUUUUUAAUAAAAAUUAGUGAUGACGGUACCUAAAGAAUAGGCACCGGCUAACUACGUG